AGAGUUUGAUCCUGGCUCAGAACGAACGCUGGCGGCAGGCCUAACACAUGCAAGUCGAACGCCGUAGCAAUACGGAGUGGCAGACGGGUGAGUAACGCGUGGGAACCUUCCCUAUGGUUCGGAAUAGCUCAGGGAAACCUGGGGUAAUACCGGAUAAGCCCUUCGGGGGAAAGAUUUAUCGCCAUUGGAUGGGCCCGCGUAGGAUUAGCUAGUUGGUGAGGUAACGGCUCACCAAGGCGACGAUCCUUAGCUGGUCUGAGAGGAUGAUCAGCCACACUGGGACUGAGACACGGCCCAGACUCCUACGGGAGGCAGCAGUGGGGAAUAUUGGACAAUGGGCGAAAGCCUGAUCCAGCCAUGCCGCGUGAGUGACGAAGG
rnacentral:rRNA from 1 species